GCCUUCGAGAAUUUUCAUAAUAUUUUCCAAAUAUUUUCUUUAUAAACUCAUUUGCAAAGUCGAUACGAACCUAUAAGAAUAAUGAAAGAAAAUCGAUAAGGCAUAGCAAAAAUUAAUAAAUGGUUAUCUUAAUUUACGGAUAUGGCCAAUUAGUCAAGUUCAACUAUUUUGUGAUUCCAAAAUCCGGUUUAUUAAAUUCUCGAACUUAAUAAUGCUAAAUUUAUUCGAAUUGUGUGGAUAUUCGUAAUUUGCGUGGUCUCACCAUCAUCUGAGCGGAUUUCAGAGAAUACCAAUGCUUGCGAAAACCUUUCCAAUGUAUGCCGGAAGCAUAGCUUUUGUCAUGAUCACUAUGCACAUAGUGACCAUUGAGAACUGUACCUUUCAUGGCAUGCCCUAAACCACCAGCCUCCUCCGAAUUUACUUGCACAACUUAUUUCCUUGUGGUCGUCAUUAUCUUGAUCUUUAGUGGAAAACUUGCCACCAUUGUGGUACGUUAAUGCAUCCCCCGCUGUUCCAUGAUAUUUUCCCAGCACCUUUAACUCAUAACCCUCCUGUUCGCUACCUAUGACAAAUUGGUCGUAUCUGGCAUGACGCAUCUCAUUAUUGAAAUCUUUUAAAACAAUCAGCAGCUCGUGUGGCUGAAGCAAAGUUAUGGCGUACAGCUUUUCCAGUCCAAUAAAGAAUUCAUGUGAGGUAUUACCGAAA